rnacentral:lncRNA from 1 species
UUCACCAUUUCUGUAUAUCUGAUACUCCAUGCAAAUCUUAGCUGCACUAUGGUGUUACAUUAAAAGUGAAGUGGGUCACCAGAAAGAAGUGAAAACUAAUAGGGGUGGGAAAAAAAAGAUAAGUGCUAUUAGGAUACACUAGUAAAACAAGAACUUGCUAAAAAUAGCUUCCAACACAUGAAUGCUCAGAAAUUUAUAAUAGG